AAUGAAAUGAAAAUCGGUUAAAUGUAAAAUUUUACGUUUCGAUUUUGAUACCAGCAGGUUAAUGGGGUUACAAGAAUUCGCAUAGCUUCUCGUCGCGGCAUUGAUCGUUCAUCUAAUCUGUUUGGUGUUAAGUCCAAAGAAGCAUAUGUAAUUCGAUUGUUUACAUGUGACUGGCUUCAAAAUGAAAUCGAAGUGUUAAGCAGGAGUAAGAGUAGGAGUAGGAGUUGAAGCAGGAGGAUCGUAAGCGCGAUUUGCAGGUUACGCCUUGAGAAACACAGCUGGAGUGCAAUUUCUGCUCGAAGGGCAGUAUUGGGGGUGUCUCUGAGUGUUCUCCUUUCAUGGCAUAGUACACCCCUCGGAUUCUGCAUCUCUUAUUUAGCUGUCACUCUAUCAUUUUUAUUAAAUGCUCCGCCAGCUUCGUUCUUGUUUGUCAGUCUCACUCUGAUAUCUUUUCCUUGGCUGUCUUGAUGUUUUGCUCGAAUUGUGUCGCGGUGUUGGGCCAAGUCGGAGGCAAAGGCGUCGUCCUGAGAGAUGCGUUUCACUCAUAUCCGGUUAAACAUUCACACCUCAGACUUUGCUUAAGCGUAAGAGAACUCAAGAUGGGUCACAGCUCCAGAAUACCAAUACCAAUACCAAGACGCAGUCGCAGACGAAGGCGAGUCAUAUGCUAAAUUGCAGUUCAUCCCCCAUCAUCUUCCCCCGUAGACUCCAUGCUCUUCUUUCCUUUUCUUUUCUGCUGGUGCAGUAUUAAAUUUCAAACCGCACAGUCAGUGGGCCAGCGAGAGGGGGUGAAGGUUAACCGAGAACAGGCAGAGCAGAAAUCUUGCAGAUUUGUGGCGUAAAAUUAUGAAAAUUAUGUCUGACACAUCCUGCUGUCUGCUUAAGGUCUUUGUUUAUCCUGGGCAAUGCGGCAACAA